AGGAUAAGCUUCUUAAUCAAAAGAACAUCCGAUUGCUUCAAACGAUCGACCGAGACGAUCGUACGGCACGCGACGCGAACUACGCAAGCGGUGGCUUGUACGGCAACACAUUCACCGAAGAAAAGGGGGAGGAGCCGGAAUCGGAAAGCUCCAGGAGGGCUCCGAACCAGAGCCGCCGCCGCCGCCGCGCGCAAGCAAAGACCUCGAUCACGCACCGACCGGCCGGCGAGGCGGAGGCAAGAAGGAGAGCAGACGAGCAAGGUUUUACCCGGACGCGCCGAUAAUGCGAGCGGCGACGGGGCAAUAAUCCGGGCGGCGAGUCAUGCCAUCGGCGCAUCCAUCGCCGGAGGAGGCCGCCGUUGGCCCCGGGGCGCCGGAAUCCGGCGGCGGCGAUCAGUUGCGGGCGGAGGGCUGUUGCCCGAUCGGGCGGCGAAAGAAGGAGGAG